AGAGUUGUAUCCUGGCUCAGAUUGAACGCUGGCGGCAUGCCUUACACAUGCAAGUCGAACGGUAGGGGGGCAACCCCUGAGAGUGGCGAACGGGUGAGUAAUGCAUCGGAACGUGCCCAGUUGUGGGGGAUAACGUAGCGAAAGCUACGCUAAUACCGCAUACGACCUGAGGGUGAAAGCGGGGGAUCGUAAGACCUCGCGCAAUUGGAGCGGCCGAUGUCAGAUUAGCUAGUUGGUGGGGUAAAGGCCUACCAAGGCGACGAUCUGUAGCUGGUCUGAGAGGACGACCAGCCACACUGGGACUGAGACACGGCCCAGACUCCUACGGGAGGCAGCAGUGGGGAAUUUUGGACAAUGGGCGCAAGCCUGAUCCAGCCAUGCCGCGUGCGGGAAGAAGGCCUUCGGGUUGUAAACCGCUUUUGUCAGGGAAGAAACGCUCUGGGCUAAUACCCCGGGGUAAUGACGGUACCUGAAGAAUAAGCACCGGCUAACUACGUGCCAGCAGCCGCGGUAAUACGUAGGGUGCAAGCGUUAAUCGGAAUUACUGGGCGUAAAGCGUGCGCAGGCGGUUAUACAAGACAGAUGUGAAAUCCCCGGGCUCAACCUGGGAACUGCAUUUGUGACUGUAUGGCUAGAGUACGGUAGAGGGGGAUGGAAUUCCGCGUGUAGCAGUGAAAUGCGUA
rnacentral:rRNA from 1 species